CCUUUGUACACACCGCCCGUCGCUACUACCGAUUGAAUGGCUCAGUGAGGCUUUCGGACUGGCCAGGGGAGGUUGGCGACCACCACCCCAGGC
rnacentral:rRNA from 1 species